AUGCUCACUUCUGCAGCAUAUAUAUUAAAACUGGAAUGAUAAAGAGAAGAUUAGCAUGGCCCCUGCCCAAGGAUGACAUGCAAAUUCAUGAAAUGUUUCAUAUUUUU